GGAGUUUGAUGGAGAUCACUUUUUGUGAACCUUGGAGAUGAACAAUAAGGAGCCGAUGUGACCCCUCAUUGUCAUCCAAGGGAGAAGAUACCAUUAGGCGAUGCAUCAGUUGGUUAUGGCCCACAGCUUCAAUAGGGGUAUACAAAUGAAUCUCGUAGAAGGUGCGAGUAGUGAGUGAAGCACCUGGGGGCAGACUGCAGACAACAUAUAGCGAAAGUCCUGCCCAUUUCUCAUCGUUGUGCAGAUUUUGAGGAUGAGCUAAGUUUACUGUGCAUGCAGACGUGCUGCUUUGUUUACUAAACCACUGUAAUCUUUCACGUAGAGGAAAAAUAAAACCAUAAUCAUAGAGAUGCGGAAGGCCCAGCUGUAAUCCCUAGAGACAAACAUACUCAUGAUAUCAGUAAUUCAGUCGUCAUUC
rnacentral:lncRNA from 1 species